AUUGAACGCUGGCGGCAUGCUUUACACAUGCAAGUCGAACGGUAACAGCACUUCGGUGGCUGACGAGUGGCGAACGGGUGAGUAAUACAUCGGAACGUGCCUAGUAGUGGGGAUAACUACUCGAAAGAGUAGCUAAUACCGCAUGAGAUCUAAGGAUGAAAGCAGGGGACCUUCGGGCCUUGCGCUACUAGAGCGGCUGAUGGCAGUUUAGGUAGUUGGUGGGAUAAAAGCUUACCAAGCCGACGAUCUGUAGCUGGUCUGAGAGGACGACCAGCCACACUGGGACUUAGACACGGCCCAGACACCCGCGGGAGGCAGCAGUGGGGAAUUUUGGACAAUGGGCGCAAGCCUGAUCCAGCAAUGCCGCGUGCAGGAUGAAGGCCUUCGGGUUGUAAACUGCUUUUGUACGGAACGAAAAGCCAUCUUCUAAUACAGGAGGGUCAUGACGGUACCGUAAGAAUAAGCACCGGCUAACUACGUG
rnacentral:rRNA from 1 species